CCUACGGGUGGCAGCAGUGGGGAAUAUUGCUCAAUGGGCGAAAGCCUGAUGCAGCAACGCCGCGUGAAGGAAGAAUGGUUUCGGCUCGUAAACUUCUAUCAACAGGGACGAAAGAAAUGACGGUACCUGAAUAAGAAGCCCCGGCUAACUACGUGCCAGCAGCCGCGCGAAUACGGAGGGGGCAAGCGUUAUCCGGAAUUACUGGGUGUAAAGGGUGAGUAGGCGGCAUGGUAAGCCAGAUGUGAAAGCCUUGGGCUUAACCCGAAUAUUGCAUUUGGAACUAUCAAGCUAGAGUACAGGGGAGGAAAGCGGAAUUCCUAGUGUAGCGGUGAAAUGCGUAGAUAUUAGGAAGAACACCAGUGGCGAAGGCAGCUUUCUAAACUGAAACUGACGCUGAGGCACGAAAGCGUGGGGAGCGAACAGGAUUAGAUACCCUGGUAGUC
rnacentral:rRNA from 1 species